GCGGCUUCUUGGCGGAGCCCCGCGGGCGCGGCCAAUGAGGAGGCGGCGCUCGGGAUGGGGGCCGCCAUUUUGCGGGGCCGCCCUGAGGGGCGGGGGCCGGGCUGCUUCUGCUCUGCGGCCGGUUCGGGUCCUGCAGCCGCUCCGGAGCCUCCGUGAGGGCGGCCGGGACCUCUCCCGGGCCUUGUAGCUCACGGCCCGCCGACGGUUGAGGCCGUCGUGCCCCUGGGCUGCGGCCGGUGUGUCCUGUCAGGCGGUUCACGGCUGUCUCGGACACAGUGGGAGCGGGACCCUUGCGAGGCUUCUGUGCCUCUCCCGCCCGGCUGAGGUGCGGUCGCGCCGCUUGUGCGUGUUUCUCGCAGUCUUUGAAACCAAUUACUCCAUCAACAGAGAAAAAUCCAAUUAAUUUGACGCUAUUCCUUGACAAUGACCUAAGAAUGAAGGCUGAAUUUCAAGGAUCAUAUCUUUCAAGCUCAGGAGCAAUGCAUGCCGACAAGAGAGAAGUCGGGCAAGAAUGGCAGGAGGCCUUUGUGGAUGGAUAACAAGCUGCUGAGCAGCAGAGAAAAAAAAAAAAAAAAGACGACUGUAGAAAAGAAGAGUUUUUUCUCAGAAAGGAAAAAGAAACUUUCAGGAAGUGGAAACGAGGACAGGUGGCCUUGGAGGACUACAGGGAAAUCCCCUGGCCAGGAGCUUGGAGCUAGAUGGUCUUUAAGGGCCAUUCCAACCCUUGCUGUAUAUUGAAACUGACAAUUUAAUAUUGGCUUCUUCAUCCUCACGGACCAUCAAAAUAUUUAACAUCUUCCAAGAAA